UGGAUCGCUUUGGAGUCAAGCAGCAGUCUCUCUUCCACGUCCUGUCUGCGUAUUCAGUCUACAACACAGAAGUGAGCUACUGCCAGGGCAUGAGUCAGAUCGCCGCCCUGCUGCUCAUGUACAUGAACGAGGAGGACGCCUUCUGGGCUCUGUCACAGCUGCUGACCAAUCAGAAACACGCCAUGCACGGAUUUUUUGUUCCCGGGUUUCCCAAACUUCAGCGAUUCCAGGCACAUCACGAUCAGAUUAUUUCUAAACUCAUCCCCAAGCUGAAGAAGCAUCUGGAUAGAGAGCAGAUGUCUG